GAUGAACGCUGGCGGCGUGCCUAAUACAUGCAAGUCGAGCGAACGGACGAGAAGCUUGCUUUUCUGAUGUUAGCGGCGGACGGGUGAGUAACACGUGGAUAACCUACCUAUAAGACUGGGAUAACUUCGGGAAACCGGAGCUAAUACCGGAUAAUAUUUUGAACCGCAUGGUUCAAAAGUGAAAGACGGUCUUGCUGUCACUUAUAGAUGGAUCCGCGCUGCAUUAGCUAGUUGGUAAGGUAACGGCUUACCAAGGCAACGAUGCAUAGCCGACCUGAGAGAGUGAUCGGCCACACUGGAACUGAGACACGGUCCAGACUCCUACGGGAGGCAGCAGUAGGGAAUCUUCCGCAAUGGGCGAAAGCCUGACGGAGCAACGCCGCGUGAGUGAUGAAGGUCUUCGGAUCGUAAAACUCUGUUAUUAGGGAAGAACAUAUGUGUAAGUAACUGUGCACAUCUUGACGGUACCUAAUCAGAAAGCCACGGAUAACUACGUG
rnacentral:rRNA from 1 species